rnacentral:rRNA from 1 species
AGAAUCAACGCUGGCGGCGUGCCUAACACAUGCAAGUCGAACGAGAAAGUGGAGCAAUCCAUGAGUAAAGUGGCGACCGGGUGAGUAACACGUGACUAACCUACCUUCAAGUGGGGGAUAACCUCGGGAAACCGGGGCUAAUACCGCAUAACAUCUUUGGAGUGGAAAUUCUGGAGAUCAAAGGAGCAAUUCGCUGGAAGAGGGGGUCGCGGCUGAUUAGCUAGUUGGCGGGGUAAUGGCCCACCAAGGCUUCGACGGGUAGCUGGUCUGAGAGGACGAUCAGCCACACUGGGACUGAGACACGGCCCAGACUCCUACGGGAGGCAGCAGUGGGGAAUCUUGCGCAAUGGGCGAAAGCCUGACGCAGCAACGCCGCGUGAGGGACGAAGGCCUUCUGGGUUGUAAACCUCUUUCAGCAGGGACGAUGAUGACGGUACCUGCAGAGAAGCCCGGCAACUACGUGCCAGCAGCCGC